rnacentral:rRNA from 1 species
UACGUAGGGUGCAAGCGUUGUCCGGAAUUAUUGGGCGUAAAGAGCUCGUAGGCGGCGCGGUAAGUCGGGUGUGAAAUCUCGGGGCUUAACUCCGAAACUGCAUUCGAUACUGCCGUGCUUGAGGACUGGAGAGGAGACUGGAAUUUACGGUGUAGCGGUGAAAUGCGUAGAUAUCGUAAGGAAGACCAGUGGCGAAGGCGGGUCUCUGGACAGUUCCUGACGCUGAGGCACGAAGGCCAGGGGAGCAAACGGG